GCUGGGCGUGGUGACGCACGCCUGUAGUCCCAGCUACUCAGGAGGCUGAGGCAGGAGAAUUGCUUGAACCUGGGAGGCAGAGGUUGCAGUGAGCUGAGAUCGUGCCACUGCACUCCAGCCUGGGCAACAGAGCGAGACUCUGUCUCAA
rnacentral:SRP_RNA from 1 species